AAAAAAAAAAAAAAAAAAAAAAAAAAAAG
rnacentral:piRNA from 1 species